rnacentral:rRNA from 1 species
GGCGUGCUUAACACAUGCAAGUCGAACGAUGAUCUCCAGACUUGCUGGGGGGAUUAGUGGCGAACGGGUGAGUAACACGUGAGUAACCUGCCCUUGACUCUGGGAUAAGCCUGGGAAACUGGGUCUAAUACCGGAUAUGACUCCUCAUCGCAUGGUGGGGGGUGGAAAGCUUUUUUGUGGUUUUGGAUGGACUCGCGGCCUAUCAGCUUGUUGGUGAGGUAAUGGCUUACCAAGGCGACGACGGGUAGCCGGCCUGAGAGGGUGACCGGCCACACUGGGACUGAGACACGGCCCAGACUCCUACGGGAGGCAGCAGUGGGGAAUAUUGCACAAUGGGCGAAAGCCUGAUGCAGCGACGCCGCGUGAGGGAUGACGGCCUUCGGGUUGUAAACCUCUUUCAGUAGGGAAGAAGCGAAAGUGACGGUACCUGCAGAAGAAGCGCCGGCUAACUACGUGCCAGCAGCCGCGGUAAUACGUAGGGCGCAAGCGUUAUCCGGAAUUAUUGGGCGUAAAGAGCUCGUAGGCGGUUUGUCGCGUCUGCCGUGAAAGUCCGGGGCUCAACUCCGGAUCUGCGGUGGGUACGGGCAGACUAGAGUGAUGUAGGGGAGACUGGAAUUCCUGGUGUAGCGGUGAUAUGCGCAGAUAUCAGGAGGAACACCGAUGGCGAAGGCAGGUCUCUGGGCAUUAACUGACGCUGAGGAGCGAAAGCAUGGGGAGCGAACAGGAUUAGAUACCCUGGUAGUCCAU